rnacentral:rRNA from 1 species
AGCGCCCCUGACAAGACUGACGCUCAGUGCGAAGCGUGGGGAGCAAACAGGAUUAGAUACCUGGUGGUCUACGCUGUAAACGAUGUCGAUUUGGAGGUUGUUCCCUUGAGGAGUGGCUUCCGGAGCUAACGCGUUAAAUCGACCGCCUGGGGAGUACGGCCGCAAGGUUAAAACUCAAAUGAAUUGACGGGGGCCCGCACAAGCGGUGGAGCAUGUGGUUUAAUUCGAUGCAACGCGAAGAACCUUACCUACUCUUGACAUCCAGAGAAUUUAGCAGAGAUGCUUUAGUGCCUUCGGGAACUCUGAGACAGGUGCUGCAUGGCUGUCGUCAGCUCGUGUUGUGAAAUGUUGGGUUAAGUCCCGCAACGAGCGCAACCCUUAUCCUUUGUUGCCAGCACAUUAUGGUGGGAACUCAAAGGAGACUGCCGGUGAUAAACCGGAGGAAGGUGGGGAUGACGUCAAGUCAUCAUGGCCCUUACGAGUAGGGCUACACACGUGCUACAAUGGCGUAUACAAAGAGAAGCGACCUCGCGAGAGCAAGCGGAACUCAUAAAGUACGUCGUAGUCCGGAUUGGAGUCUGCAACUCGACUCCAUGAAGUCGGAAUCGCUAGUAAUCGUAGAUCAGAAUGCUACGGUGAAUACGUUCCCGGGCCUUGUACACACCGCCCGUCACACCAUGGGAGUGGGUUGCAAAAGAAGUAGGUAGCUUAACCUUCGGGAGGGCGCUUACCACUUUGUGAUUCAUGACUGGGGUGAAGUCGUAACAAGGUAACCA